UCGGGAAUUUGGGCAAUGGGCGAAAGCCUGACCCAGCAACGCCGCGUGAAGGAUGAAGUAUUUCGGUAUGUAAACUUCGAAAGAAUAGGAAGAAUAAAUGACGGUACUAUUUAUAAGGUCCGGCUAACUACGUGCCAGCAGCCGCGGUAAUACGUAGGGACCAAGCGUUGUUCGGAUUUACUGGGCGUAAAGGGCGCGUAGGCGGCAAUUCAAGUCAUCUGUGAAAUCUCCGGGCUUAACUCGGAACGGUCAGAUGAUACUGCUUUGCUAGAGUGCAGAAGGGGCAAUCGGAAUUCUUGGUGUAGCGGUGAAAUGCGUAGAUAUCAAGAGGAACACCUGAGGUGAAGACGGGUUGCUGGGCUGACACUGACGCUGAGGCGCGAAAGCCAGGGGAGCAAACGGGAUUAGAUACCCCCGUAGUCCCUGAGCGGGCUGGCAAGGCGCAU
rnacentral:rRNA from 1 species